GCCGACGUAGCUCAAUUGGCAGAGCAGCGGUUUUGUAAACCGCAGGUCGUGGGUUCGAGUCCCACCGUCGGCUCCA
rnacentral:tRNA from 1 species